rnacentral:rRNA from 1 species
GACGAACGCUGGCGGCGUGCCUAAUACAUGCAAGUAGAACGCUGAAGGAGGAGCUUGCUCUUCUGGAUGAGCUGCGAACGGGUGAGUAACGCGUAGGUAACCUGCCUGUUAGCGGGGGAUAACUAUUGGAAACGAUAGCUAAUACCGCAUAAGAGUAUAUGUUGCAUGACAUUUACUUAAAAGGUGCAAUUGCAUCACUACCAGAUGGACCUGCGUUGUAUUAGCUAGUUGGUGGGGUAACGGCUUACCAAGGCGACGAUACAUAGCCGACCUGGGAGGGUGACCGGCCACACUGGGACUGAGGCACGGCCCAGACUCCUACGGGAGGCAGCAGUAGGGAAUCUUCGGCAAUGGACGGAAGUCUGACCGAGCAACGCCGCGUGAGUGAAGGAGGUUUUCGGAUCGUAAAGCUCUGUUGUAAGAGAAGAACGAGUGUGAGAGUGGAAAGUUCACACUGUGACGGUAUCUUACCAGAAAGGGACGGCUAACUACGUG